rnacentral:rRNA from 1 species
AGAACGAACGCUGGCGGCAUGCCUAACACAUGCAAGUCGAACGAGACCCCAACUUCGGUUGGACGUCUAGUGGCGCACGGGUGCGUAACGCGUGGGAAUCUGCCCUUCGGUUCGGAAUAACUCGGAGAAAUCCGUGCUAAUACCGGAUAAUGACGUAAGUCCAAAGAUUUAUCGCCGAGGGAUGAGCCCGCGUAGGAUUAGCUUGUUGGUGAGGUAAAGGCUCACCAAGGCGACGAUCCUUAGCUGGUCUGAGAGGAUGAUCAGCCACACUGGGACUGAGACACGGCCCAGACUCCGUACGGGAGGCAGCAGGUGGGGAAUAGUUGGACAAGUGGGACGAAAGCCUGAUCCAGCAAGUCGCCGGCGUGGAGUGAUAGGAAGGUCCGUUAGGGUUAGUAAAGUCUUACGUUUACCCGGAUAGAUAAUGACACGGUACCGGAGAACAACGCGUACCGUCUAACGUCCGUCGACCA